rnacentral:rRNA from 1 species
CGAAGGGGGCUAGCGUUGUUCGGAAUUACUGGGCGUAAAGCGAGUGUAGGUGGUUUUCCAAGUUGGAUGUGAAAGCCUUGAGCUCAACUCAAGAAAUGCAUUCAGGACUGGAAGACUAGAGGACCGGAGAGGAUAGUGGAAUUCCCAGUGUAGUGGUGAAAUACGUAGAGAUUGGGAAGAACACCAGUGGCGAAGGCGGCUAUCUGGACGGUUUCUGACACUAAGACUCGAAAGCGUGGGGAGCAAACAGGAUUAGAUACCCUGGUAGUCCACGCCGUAAACGAUGGGUGCUAGACGUUGGCGAGCUUGCUCGUCAGUGUCGCAGCUAACGCGUUAAGCACCCCGCCUGGGGAGUACGGCCGCAAGGUUG